GGCAUAUCAAUAAGCGGAGGAAAAGAAACCAACAGGGAUUGCCCUAGUAACGGCGAGUGAAGCGGCAACAGCUCAAAUUUGAAAUCUGGCCUCGGCCCGAGUUGUAAUUUGCAGAGGAAGCUUUGGGCGCGGCACCGACCGAGUCCCCUGGAACGGGGCGCCAUAGAGGGUGAGAGCCCCGUAUGGUCGGACGCCUAGCCUGUGUAAAGCUCCUUCGACGAGUCGAGUAGUUUGGGAAUGCUGCUCAAAAUGGGAGGUAAAUUUCUUCUAAAGCUAAAUACCGGCCAGAGACCGAUAGCGCACAAGUAGAGUGAUCGAAAGAUGAAAAGCACUUUGAAAAGAGGGUUAAAUAGCACGUGAAAUUGUUGAAAGGGAAGCGCUUGUGACCAGACUUGCGCCCGGCUGAUCAUCUGGUGUUCUCACCAGUGCACUCUGCCGGGCUCAGGCCAGCAUCGGUUCUCGCGGGGGGACAAAGGCCUUGGGAACGUAGCUCCUCCGGGAGUGUUAUAGCCCAGGACGUAAUGCCCUCGCGGGGACCGAGGUUCGCGCAUCUGCAAGGAUGCUGGCGUAAUGGUCAUCAGCGACCCGUCUUGAAACACGGACCAAGGAGUCAAGGUUUUGCGCGAGUGUUUGGGUGUAAAACCCGCACGCGUAAUGAAAGUGAACGUAGGUGAGAGCUUCGGCGCAUCAUCGACCGAUCCUGAUGUUUUCGGAUGGAUUUGAGUAGGAGCGUUAAGCCUUGGACCCGAAAGAUGGUGAACUAUGCUUGGAUAGGGUGAAGCCAGAGGAAACUCUGGUGGAGGCUCGCAGCGGUUCUGACGUGCAAAUCGAUCGUCAAAUCUGAGCAUGGGGGCGAAAGACUAAUCGAACCAUCUAGUAGCUGGUUACCGCCGAA
rnacentral:rRNA from 1 species